GGGAAGCAGCGAAGGGGGGAACGCAAAUGGCACGCCCGGGUAGGCCGGGGAGUAGGCCGGGUGGAGGGGCGUUAGAACAAAAAUCGAAGCGUCGCGCGUUUUUUUAAGGGUGAUCGCGUCGGAAUUGAGCCGUCCUUCAAAUGUUAAUGCACGUCAAAGUGGCUUAAAAUUCAUCCAUCCGGUACGAUUAAAGCGUAUUUAAGAUCAAUUUUGAUUAAGAACGCGCGAUGAACGUACCAUCUCAUGUAGUACGUUUGACCUGGGUCGUCAGGAUCAUUCGUAUACGAUACUCAAACUUUUG
rnacentral:misc_RNA from 1 species